rnacentral:rRNA from 1 species
UGCAUAUCAAUUAACGGAGGAAAAGAAACUAACAAGGAUUCCCCUAGUAACGGCGAGUGAAGAGGGAAAAGCUCAAAUUUAAAAUCUGGCGGCCUACGGUCGUCCGAGUUGUAAUCUAGAGAAGUGUUUUCUGUGCUGGACCGUGUACAAGUCCUUUGGAACAAGGCGUCAUAGAGGGUGAGAAUCCCGUCUACGACACGGACUACCAGUGCUCUGUGAUACACUCUCAACGAGUCGAGUUGUUUGGGAAUGCAGCUCAAAAUGGGUGGUAAAUUCCAUCUAAAGCUAAAUACAGGCGAAAGACCGAUAGCGAACAAGUACCGUGAGGGAAAGAUGAAAAGCACUUUGGAAAGAGAGUUAAACAGUACGUGAAAUUGUUGAAAGGGAAACGCUUGAAGUCAGUCGCGUCUUCAGAAAUUCAGCCUGGCUUCUGCCUGGUGUACUUUUCUGUUGGACGGGCCAGCAUCAGUUUUGGCCACCAGAAAAAGGUGGGAGGAAGGUGGCACCUCCGGGUGUGUUAUAGCCUCUCAUCGUAUAUGGUGGCUGGGACUGAGGACCGCAGCACGCCUUUAUGGCCGGGGUUCGCCCACGUAACGUGCUUAGGAUGCUGGCGUAAUGGCUUUAAACGACCCG